ACCUGCUGCACACCAUUAGUCCCUCCUCACUGCCCAGCACAGAACAACGGGGCCUGUUCUUGGGCUGUUCAUAAAGUUCUGACACUGUUCUGCCUCCCCUUGCUCCCCACCAGGGACUGAAGCCCCUCAAAGUGUGAAGCGCAUGACACAAAUGAGAGGGAGGGCAGGGCUCGCUGCAGGAGUAGGGUCAGCAGCUCUUUAACAGACCAUCAAAGAGAUGCCCUGCAAAACACCUGCCUUCCAGAUGAGCACUGGGCACCCACAAAGCUGUCCCCAGGCACUUCAGUGACUAUGAUUUUCAAGGCUCCAUCAAAACUGUUGCUGAGAAGCAGGAGAGUCCAUCCUGGCCUGGAGUCUCAGGUAGAUGCACGAGGACCCUGCCAGAUGGAGAAGCCAGCGUCCACUCUGCAUAACUCGAGGCAGGGUCAUGCUCACUGUGACCAAGGGACAUGGUCCUCCUGUCCCAGCUUCCCUGAUUGUGGAAGGAAGCCCAGAGAGGAAUCUCCUAUUUUCGACUUCCGGAGUAAAUUGCCUUGCAAUUCAACCUAAGAGGACACAUAGCAGAAGUAUUUGAAUUUUCAACUAUAGCAAGUAUGGGCAGAGAGCCCUUUCCUCUACCUAUUUUUAUGUAACUGUAGAAAUGCUUGGGAUCAAGGAUGCCGACAAUACCAAAGGGCAUGGGCCAGUGAAGAAAUAUUGGCAGGGGCU
rnacentral:lncRNA from 1 species